rnacentral:rRNA from 1 species
CACGGUGCAAGCUGUGGCUUAUGGAUGGGCCUGCGGCGCAUUAGCUAGUUGGUGGGGUAACGGCCUACCAAGGCGACGAUGCGUAGCCGACCUGAGAGGGUGAACGGCCACACUGGGACUGAGACACGGCCCAGACUCCUACGGGAGGCAGCAGUAGGGAAUCUUCCACAAUGGGCGCAAGCCUGAUGGAGCAACGCCGCGUGAGUGAGGAAGGCUUUCGGGUCGUAAAGCUCUGUUGCCAGGGAAGAAUAAGGGCUAGGUCACUGCUCGUCCGAUGACGGUACCUGAGAAGAAAGCCCCGGCUAACUACGUGCCAGC